rnacentral:rRNA from 1 species
CAAGGUUAGUGCCAUAUUAACGGAUAAGGCCAUCGGUCUGUAUGAUGAGUCAAGUGUAAAUACUUAACGAGGACAUGAGGACAAGUCUGGUGCCAGCAGCGCGGUUAUCCAGCUCCAUAGCGGUAUAUAAAGUGUGCAGUUAAAAAGCUCGUAGUGACUUGGCUGGUUGACCGGUCCGAUUUUUCGUGGUACUAGAAUGCACCCGGGCCUUCCUUCUGGCUAACCCCAAGUCCUUGUGGCUUGGCGGCGGAACCAGGACUUUUACUUUGAAAAAAUUAGAGUGUUCAAAGCAGGCGUAUUGCUCGAAUAUAUUAGCAUGGAAUAAUGGAAUAGGACGUUUGGUUCUAUUUUGUUGGUUUCUAGGACCAUCGUAAUGAUUAAUAGGGACGGUCGGGGGCAUCAGUAUUCAAUUGUCAGAGGUGAAAUUCUUGGAUUUAUUGAAGACUAACUACUGCGAAAGCAUUUGCCAAGGACGUUUUCAUUAAUCAAGAACGAAAGUUAGGGGAUCGAAGAUGAUCAGAUACCGUCGUAGUCUUAACCAUAAACUAUGCCGACUAGGGAUCGGGUGGUGUUUUUUUAGUGACCCACUCGGCACCUUACGAGAAAUCAAAGUCUUUGGGUUCUGGGGGGAGUAUGGUCGCAAGGCUGAAACUUAAAGGAAUUGACGGAAGGGCACCACCAGGAGUGGAGCCUGCGGCUUAAUUUGACUCAACACGGGGAAACUCACCAGGUCCAGACACAAUAAGGAUUGACAGAUUGAGAGCUCUUUCUUGAUUUUGUGGGUGGUGGUGCAUGGCCGUUCUUAGUUGGUGGAGUGAUUUGUCUGCUUAAUUGCGAUAACGAACGAGACCUUAACCUACUAAAUAGUGGUGCUAGCAUUUGCUGGUUGUCCACUUCUUAGAGGGACUAUCGGUUUCAAGCCGAUGGAAGUUUGAGGCAAUAACAGGUCUGUGAUGCCCUUAGACGUUCUGGGCCGCACGCGCGCUACACUGACGGAGCCAGCGAGUCUAACCUUGGCCGAGAGGUCUUGGUAAUCUUGUGAAACUCCGUCGUGCUGGGGAUAGAGCAUUGUAAUUAUUGCUCUUCAACGAGGAAUUCCUAGUAAGCGCAAGUCAUCAGCUUGCGUUGAUUACGUCCCUGCCCUUUGUACACACCGCCCGUCGCUAGUACCGAUUGAAUGGCUUAGUGAGGCCUCAGGAUCUUGCUUAGAAGAGGGGGCGACUCCACUUCAGAAGGCGGAAUACGGCCU